GUGGUGGCUCAGUGGUAGAGCGCUCACCUAGCACGUGUGAGGUGCUGGGUUCAAUCGUCAGCCCUACA
rnacentral:tRNA from 1 species